rnacentral:rRNA from 1 species
GACGUAGGGUGCGAGCGUUGUCCGGAUUUAUUGGGCGUAAAGAGCUCGUAGGCGGCUCGUCGCGUCGACCGUGAAAACCCGCGGCUUAACUGCGGGCUUGCGGUUGAUACGGGCGGGCUAGAGUUCGGCAGGGGAGACUGGAAUUCCUGGUGUAGCGGUGAAAUGCGCAGAUAUCAGGAGGAACACCGGUGGCGAAGGCGGGUCUCUGGGCAACAACUGACGCUGAGGAGCGAAAGCGUGGGGAGCGAACAGG